UUCUGCUAACACUCAACCCCGACCCAGCUCGGCUUCUUCCCAGCGUCACACCCCAAUCCUUCCCCACCUUAUUCCUUGCGUCACCCACAGAUCCCCUUCCACCUUAUUCCUCACAUCCCAUCCACCAUAGUACCCCAACCCAUCCCCAACCCCCUCCCCUCCCCCAACCCAUCCACCACAGGGAACUCACCUCCGCCGGGAAACAUCCCCCCUCCCGUGCAUUUUCGUACGCGGCCGACGUCACGGCCGCCAACAAGUGACGCCUCCCCAUCGCCCACCCCACCACCCACCUCGCCUCUCCCGCGGGACGUGUACCAUGGUCGAGGAAGCCAUAUCCACAUCACACUGGUUGUUGUCGGCUCCAUGCCCAGCUCCCUGGCCAUCGAGCCACCGCCCCACUCUCAAACCUGAGCGCCUAUAGGAUCCGGGCCCCGAGCUCCUCCCAAUCGAGCCGGCUACCACUGCCUCGUACUUCGGGGAAAAUAACGGAGAUGGCAUCAACAAACCGCUUCCCAGAUCACCGAAGCGCCCACCAUCAACUACUCUUUCACUUCUCGAUGCAAGAUCCGCGAUGGCCACACCUUCCAUUGGUCCUCUUCCUCUUCUCGAAUGAUGGCCAUGGUGGCCCCACCACAAACACCCCACAUGCACGGCCCACCUCGUGGACGGUUAGCCGUCGCAUCAGCGUCGUCAUCACCGCACCACCACCACGGGCAACCAGCACGUCGGUUGCUGCCUUCGCCACCGCGUCACCACAUCGCCCUCCCCGGCAAGCCCAACCUCGACUCCCUAGGCGGCCGGAUCUAUCGACGGUACUCACGCAGUACUCCAACUCCGAUGCGCGGCUGCCGCGGUGGAACCGCGUUGGCACCCUGCCGCCCUCCCCUCCCAAUCCUACACGAGCGGCACAUCCUGCUGACCUCCGUCCCCUCCUUUUCUGUGUAUCUCGGAGGCAUGCCACAUGCAGUUUGCUCUCUGCUGCUCCUCUGAGUGUUUUUCUCCACUCCCGGCGAGCACUGCAUGUUAAUCUCAUUGGAGGUUCGUUGGGUCGUUGACGCAGUUUGCACGCACCGUGAGAGGAUGACGGCAUGCGAUUCCCUCGCACGUUGGAGUUCAGUUGCCAUGCCAGAACUCCUCUACCUCGUUCCUCUGUAUGCUUCUCCUGCUGCUACCACCGGGGCCAACUUGCAGUGCGUUGACGCUGGGCAUGCAAAGUUGUUCGCCACGCGCGGCCCUGCUGUUCAGUGACGCGGUAACACUGAUUUAGGAUUGUGGUGCAGUUUCUUUUCUAUUUGAUAUACUCUCCAAUUUGUUUGUUUGGCGAUGUGUGGUUCAAUUAUUUAACAAUUUCUCUCUUCACUCGUUAGCAAGUUAGUGGAGUGGACGGAAAAUUGAUGGAGUUCACAAUUGUUUUACAAGUUAGUGCUUUUCUAAUUCUAUUGUAAGUGAUUGAUAGGUUUGUUACAAAAUGAUGGAGUUCACUAUUAUUACCAAGAUGAAAGUAUUCCAUCACUUGGUCACCAGCAACCUACAACUUUCAUGACACCUUUACAGUGAGAUGAUGAAUUGCUAGACUGUCACUUUGAAGGUGGGCAAUCUGUUUCCGUAUGAACCAUGGGCAAAUCUGAUAGAUGACCCACAUUUUACUCUCCCGCUUCCACGAAAAGUUCAAGCGAACAUCCAUAGCCAGGUGCAAGUUCCCAUAUCCAUGGUUGGCGGCAAUGCCAUGGAGGCAUUAACCUCCGUUCCACACAAUGUGAAGUUUUGAAUAAGAGCCGGCAGCAACGAGUCGAACUUUAAACAUCGAUGGAGUUCACUAUUAUUACAAGUCAGUACUUGUUAUAUUUUCGAGUUCGAAAAAGCUGCAGGAAAAAGGGAAGAAAUCCAUAUGUUCAACGUCUUAUACAAAACAAGAAAGUGAAGUUUUGUCAUAUAGAACAACCGGAUCUUGUUAUUGAAGUGUUGUGGUUCACUAUAAAACAAAACAUUAUUGUUUCUA